AAACGAUUUCAGGCUUUGUCUUCUAGGGCUCAUGUAAACGAAACACAGUUGCUCAUGUUUAAAAAAAAAAAACAUUUAAGUUAAUCUAUAACUUUCAGCUCUAAAACUUCUUAAAUAAAUUGAUUCUGAUAAUUGAAAUAAUCAAAGUGAUCUGAAAUAAUUGAUUUUGAUUCGCUCUGGAUUACACACGAGGUAAGUGAGUUAUUUUUUUAGAAAUGGUAUAUCGAAAAUAAAAAAAAAAUCUUAACUUCUUUGGUUUUAUAGAUGAUGGUGGAAUUGAUUGAAAUCUUGAUUCCUCCCUGGUUUGAGCUGCUCCUUUUUCCCCCUUGGUGGAAUGUGCUGGUACCCCCUUGGUGGCUUUCCGGAAAAACUAUUCCGAUGUCUUCUUUCCCAGGUAUUUCAAGAAGUUUUUUGGCUGUAAUCACCCAUAAAUUGAAUACUUUGGAUUUGGAGGUUAUGUUUCGUUUUUUUUGUGGCCUCUUUUUUUUUAACUAAAUACAAGAAUAUUUCUUAAUCUACGACGGAAAUACGAACGGAUUUAUCAUUGAUUAAAACAUUUUUACAAAUAAUGACGAAAUCAAUGAGAACUAUAACAAACUUUUAUGAAAUUUUUCAACGAUCAGCUUUAACUAUCCUCGGUAUAUCAACUUUGAUAUCAAUACAUUUGAAGAAGUACUAAUAAACUCUCUAGGCUCUCGAUUUACAAGGAUUUUUCUACGGAAUGUCAUUAUUUCCUCUUUAUUGUAAUUAUUUCUUAUAACAAAAUUAUUGUUUAUUAAUGAA